rnacentral:rRNA from 1 species
UACGUAGGGGGCGAGCGUUGUCCGGAUUCAUUGGGCGUAAAGAGCUCGUAGGCGGUUUGGCAAGUCGGGUGUGAAAUCUCUGGCUCAACUCAGAGAGGCCACUCGAUACUGCUAUGACUAGAGUCCGGUAGGGGAGCAUGGAAUUCCUGGUGUAGCGGUGAAAUGCGCAGAUAUCAGGAGGAACACCGGUGGCGAAGGCGGUGGUCUGGGCCGGCACUGACGCUGAGGAGCGAAAGCGUGGGGAGCGAACAGG